AUUGAACGCUGGCGGAAUGCUUUACACAUGCAAGUCGAACGGCAGCACGGACUUCGGUCUGGUGGCGAGUGGCGAACGGGUGAGUAAUGUAUCGGAACGUGCCCAGUCGUGGGGGAUAACGUAGUGAAAAUUACGCUAAUACCGCAUACGAUCUAUGGAUGAAAGCGGGGGAUCGCAAGACCUCGCGCGAUUGGAGCGGUCGAUAUCAGUUUAGGUAGUUGGUGGGGUAAAGGCCCACCAAGCCAACGAUCUGUAGCUGGUCUGAGAGGACGACCAGCCACACUGGAACUGAGACACGGUCCAGACUCCUACGGGAGGCAGCAGUGGGGAAUUUUGGACAAUGGGCGAAAGCCUGAUCCAGCCAUUCCGCGUGCAGGAUGAAGGCCCUCGGGUUGUAAACUGUUUUUGUACAGAACGAAAAGGUUUCUACUAAUACUAGGAGCUCAUGACGGUACUGUAAGAAUAAGCACCGGCUAACUACGUGCCAGCAGCCGCCGUAA
rnacentral:rRNA from 1 species